rnacentral:rRNA from 1 species
GUCUGCAUGGAGCCGGCCUUGAAAUACCACCCUUUAAUGUUUGAUGUUCUAACGUGGACCCGUAAUCCGGGUUGCGGACAGUGUCUGGUGGGUAGUUUGACUGGGGCGGUCUCCUCCUAAAGAGUAACGGAGGAGCACGAAGGUUGGCUAAUCCUGGUCGGACAUCAGGAGGUUAGUGCAAUGGCAUAAGCCAGCUUGACUGCGAGCGUGACGGCGCGAGCAGGUGCGAAAGCAGGUCAUAGUGAUCCGGUGGUUCUGAAUGGAAGGGCCAUCGCUCAACGGAUAAAAGGUACUCCGGGGAUAACAGGCUGAUACCGCCCAAGAGUUCAUAUCGACGGCGGUGUUUGGCACCUCGAUGUCGGCUCAUCACAUCCUGGGGCUGAAGUAGGUCCCAAGGGUAUGGCUGUUCGCCAUUUAAAGUGGUACGCGAGCUGGGUUUAGAACGUCGUGAGACAGUUCGGUCCCUAUCUGCCGUGGGCGCUGGAGAACUGAGGGGGGCUGCUCCUAGUACGAGAGGACCGGAGUGGACGCAUCACUGGUGUUCGGGUUGUCAUGCCAAUGGCACUGCCCGGUAGCUACAUGCGGAAGAGAUAAGUGCUGAAAGCAUCUAAGCACGAAACUUGCCCCGAGAUGAGUUCUCCCUGAGACUUUAGGUCUCCUGAAGGAACGUUGAAGACGACGACGUUGAUAGGCCGGGUGUGUAAGCGCAGCGAUGCGUUGAGCUAACCGGUACUAAUGAACCGUGAGGCUUAACCUU